rnacentral:rRNA from 1 species
GACGAACGCUGGCGGCGUGCUUAACACAUGCAAGUCGAACGGAAAGGCCCUGCUUUUGUGGGGUGCUCGAGUGGCGCACGGGUGAGUAACACGUGAGUAACCUCCCCCUGACUUUGGGAUAACUUCAGGAAACUGGGGCUAAUAUCGGAUAGGAGCUCCUGCUGCACGGUGGGGGUUGGAAAGUUUCGGCGGUUGGGGAUGGAUUCGCGGCUUAUCAGCUUGUUGGUGGGGUAGUGGCUUACCAAGGCUUUGACGGGUAGCCGGCCUGAGAGGGGGACCGGGCUCAUUGGGACUGAGAUACGGCGCAGACUCCUACGGGAGGCAGCAGUCGAGAGUCUUGCACAGUGAGCGGAAGCGUGAUGCAGAAACGCCGCGUGCGGAAUGACGGCCUUCGGGUUAUGAACCGCUUUCGCCUGAAACGAAGCGGGAGUGACGGUAAUGGGUAAAGAAGCACCGGCUAACUACGUG